rnacentral:rRNA from 1 species
UACGGAGGGUGCAAGCGUUAUCCGGAUUCACUGGGCGUAAAGCGCACGUAGGCGGCUUUUUAAGUCAGGGGUGAAAUCCUGGAGCUCAACUCCAGAACUGCCUUUGAUACUGAGAAGCUUGAGUCCGGGAGAGGUGAGUGGAACUGCGAGUGUAGAGGUGAAAUUCGUAGAUAUUCGCAAGAACACCAGUGGCGAAGGCGGCUCACUGGCCCGGUACUGACGCUGAGGUGCGAAAGCGUGGGGAGCAAACAGG